rnacentral:rRNA from 1 species
ACUCGAGUGGCGAACGGGUGAGUAACACGUGGGUGAUCUGCCCUGCACUUCGGGAUAAGCUUGGGAAACCGGGUCUAAUACCGGAUAGGAGCCAUCUUUAGUGUGGUGGUUGGAAAGUUUUUCGGUGUAGGAUGAGCUCGCGGCCUAUCAGCUUGUUGGUGGGGUAAUGGCCUACCAAGGCGGCGACGGGUAGCCGGCCUGAGAGGGUGUACGGCCACAUUGGGACUGAGAUACGGCCCAG